rnacentral:rRNA from 1 species
GUGGGGAAUAUUGCACAAUGGGCGAAAGCCUGAUGCAGCAACGCCGCGUGAGCGAUGAAGGCCUUCGGGUCGUAAAGCUCUGUCCUAUGGGAAGAUAAUGACGGUACCAUAGGAGGAAGCCCCGGCUAACUACGUGCCAGCAGCCGCGGUAAUACGUAGGGGGCAAGCGUUAUCCGGAAUUACUGGGCGUAAAGGGUGCGUAGGCGGUUUAUCAAGUCAGGGGUGAAAGGCUACGGCUCAACCGUAGUGAGCCUCUGAAACUGGUGAACUUGAGUGUAGGAGAGGAAAGUGGAAUUCCCAGUGUAGCGGUGAAAUGCGUAGAUAUUGGGAGGAACACCAGUGGCGAAGGCGACUUUCUGGACUACAACUGACGCUGAGGCACGAAAGCGUGGGGAGCAAACAGGAUUAGAAACCCGUGUAGUCC